rnacentral:misc_RNA from 1 species
CUGCUUCAGAUUAGCCAAUUCGCCCAAAGGAUUGCUACUAAGUGGAGGCUCGAAUUUUAAAUUGCAAUAUUCUUUAAAUGCAUUUCACGAUAAAGGGAUUCUUCUUGUUCUAAUCUGCAGAACCAGAGUUUUGCCUCUCCUGUCAUAUGGAAUGCUACGAGGUUCACCUUAUCUAUUUCUAGCAUCCAUUGGUUUGAAAAAAAUUGUUCA